UAAUUCAGCACCAAGUAGUUGUGGUUCUGUUGACAAAAACUAAUGGGAAAACACUAAUAAUAUAAUAUAAUAUAAUAUAAUAUAAUAUAAUAUAAUAUAAUAUAAUAUNAUAAUAUAUAAAUAUUUCAAUUUAAUUUAUAAUCUUAUAAUACAACUAAAAUAAUUGUAUAAAUAAUGUCUAAAAUUAUUUGAAUCCUUAUGAGACAAGCAAACACAUUAACAACCUGAGAUGUCUUUCUUUGCUCUUUCUGUUUUCAAAAUUGCACUAAACAGGAAGACAGACAGGAAGUGGUAGCCUAAAGCAUUUUAUCUAUGUGAUCAAGACUUAGCCGUGUUAGUCAUGAAGGAGAAACGCUAAAGAAAAUUCUGUAUGUUACAUACGUAGGAUUAUUUUAAACUAAAAGUGGAAUUGGAAAAGUGAGAUUGUGACAGAUUUCCAAUGUGGGGUCAGCAAGUUCAGAGGUUACGUGACUUUACAGAGGAGCUUCUGUCACACCGUCUUUUACCAUGACAAGAUCAGGUGCCUUAAAACUUUGCAUCCUCUUCUUUCUCACCUUCAUCCUGUGUCUACCAGAGUUUUUUCCAAAAAUAUCACAAAUUGAGUUUCUCUGUGAGCCCUUUGACCCUUGCACACCUGAGAAUGAUACACAGGUGUGUGCUCCAUAUGACCCUCCAUGUGUGACAGAAAUGAUAAAUGCCAGCAGCCAACACACACGUUCUGAAGGCUGGUAUCUGUGUAAAACUGAAAUGGAUCUGCAGCUUCUCCAGAACAAUACCUCACCGUCAGGUGAGAUAGUUGUUUAUCAUCAUUUCAUGUUUGAGUAUUACUGCUACAUGUACAUCGUCUACAGUAAUAACUGUGUGCAUGUUGUACAUUUCAUAGAAGAGCAUGUGAUGGUGCUACUGACAAUGAAGGCAGGCAAUCACUCUGGAUGGAACAUUAGUGAAUUUAUGUUUCUCAACAACACUGAUCUAUACACUGCUGGACCCCAAAAUGACCAGAGACUGUUUUAUUGCAACCUCCCACCAGACAACAGCAAAUGUCCAGAUCUGAACAUAUCCAUGCAAGAAAAAAACACCAGCCCUCCAAUACAAGACCCCUCCAUUUUAAAAACCAAUACUUCUGUAAACCCAACUGCCUUUUCACUCAAAACAACUACACUGUCUUUCCAAGAAACACCUUCUACAGAUGAGCUGAAGUGUCAACCAACCAGCAGCAGUUUCCUCUUUUACUACCAGAUGAACAAUGAAACAGCAAGAUCUGCCGCAUUACCAGUGACCCAAACAAGAAAAGAUGGCUGGUGGUGUGUGAUUACUUCGGUGUGGUUGGCUCUGGUACUGACUGUGAUUGUGGUAACCCUAUUGAGUGUGGGCAACAUGAUCUUUAAGAGCAGAAAACGAAAGUCCGGUUUGGUUGCAUCUGUGCCGGUUUCAGCCCGUGGACGUCAGCUCAAAGAGCUCAGUAAACAAAAAGAAAAUUUAAUGAGUGCUGUCCCUGCUGUGUCCAUAGCAAUGUGCUGCUUAAGUGAUGGGGAUGUAUUCUAUGAGAAACCGUCAAUGGGGAACAGAACAGAAGAAAACCUUCUGAAGGUAGCUGACCUUACAUACAAGAGAAGUAAGUUAUUGGAUAUUUUUUUAUACAGUGUGACAGAGUACAGUAAUUAAACGGGAAGUGUCUGUAAUGGUGGCAGACUCCCGAAAAGCAACUCAACCUAAAACAAUUUUGGGCGCCAUGCAAACAGAUUGAAAACUCUGUCAUCAUUUACUCACCUCAUGCUGUUCCAACCAGUUUGACUUCCUUCUGUGGGAUAUAAAUAAAGAAUUUUUUGCAAAUGUUCA
ensembl:lncRNA